GGACGUCGUUUAACAGCACCUAGCACUUCUUCAAAGGUGUUUCCAGAUCCCUUAAAGACUCAACUAUCUGUUACUUUGGGAAACGCCUACAAAACCACUGGCACAACAUUUAAACAUCUUCAAAUGUCAGCAAUCCUCUUCUUGAUGGUUGUUGGUCUGAUUGACACUAUCAGCCAUUAUGAUUAAUAAUCAGCCACAUCUGGUGCAUAAUGAAGAGCCAAGACUGCGCCAGAGAUUGAUUCAUCAGUGACAUCACGGCACAACUUCAAGUGUUUUAUAUCAUUCUCACCAAUGAAGCAGAUGACUGCAGUGAUGGCCAGAUCUCGAGCAUACCGUUGAGGUGUCACGCUGCCUCUUGCCU